GGGGAUUUAGCUCAGUGGUAGAGCGCUUGCUGCGCAAGGCCCUGGGUUCAGUCCCCA
rnacentral:tRNA from 1 species